rnacentral:miRNA from 1 species
CCGCCCACGUCGUAAUUAACUGA